rnacentral:rRNA from 1 species
UACGAAGGGGGCUAGCGUUGUUCGGAUUUACUGGGCGUAAAGCGCACGUAGGCGGGUUGUUAAGUCAGGGGUGAAAUCCUGGAGCUCAACUCCAGAACUGCCUUUGAUACUGGAGAGCUUGAGUCCGGAAGAGGUGAGUGGAACUCCGAGUGUAGAGGUGAAAUUCGUAGAUAUUCGCAAGAACACCAGUGGCGAAGGCGGCUCACUGGCUCGGUACUGACGCUGAGGUGCGAAAGCGUGGGGAGCAAACAGG